rnacentral:rRNA from 1 species
AGUGAACGCUGGCGGUAGGCCUAACACAUGCAAGUCGAACGGCAGCACAGUAAGAGCUUGCUCUUACGGGUGGCGAGUGGCGGACGGGUGAGGAAUACAUCGGAAUCUACUUUUUCGUGGGGGAUAACGUAGGGAAACUUACGCUAAUACCGCAUACGACCUACGGGUGAAAGCAGGGGAUCUUCGGACCUUGCGCGAUUGAAUGAGCCGAUGUCGGAUUAGCUAGUUGGCGGGGUAAAGGCCCACCAAGGCGACGAUCCGUAGCUGGUCUGAGAGGAUGAUCAGCCACACUGGAACUGAGACACGGUCCAGACUCCUACGGGAGGCAGCAGUGGGGAAUAUUGGACAAUGGGCGCAAGCCUGAUCCAGACAUACCGCGUGAGUGAAGAAGGCCUUCGGGUUGUAAAGCCCUUUUGUUGGGAAAGAAAAGCAGCAGGUUAAUACCCCGCUGUUCUGACGGUACCCAAAGAAUAAGCACCGGCUAACUUCGUG